rnacentral:sRNA from 1 species
UAGCGUAGAUCGUCAAUAUAUGCAGGU